AUUGUGGUUAAAAAGUCGCUUCUUACCGGAGAAACGCUGAGCUUGUGACGUCCAUAGCUGCCGUCGACUCCCCUGAGACACUCCAUGUCAAGACACCCGUGGAGACACCCUUUCAACUAUCAGAUAACUGCAGAGACCACUGUUCAUGAGGACCUGAAAAUGAAGAAUAUGAGCAUCUACAUCUGUCGUGAGCCAAAUGCAGUAGGAAUCAUCAUUGAGGGAGUACCAGUCCUUACUCAUCUUGGAAACCUGGCCAAAGCAUGCUGCCUACUUCUGGGGUUGACGUAUGCACUUAAUCUGGAGUAUCCAUCCAAACUUUCCAAAACAUUUGAGGUAUUUUAAAGACUUUGUGUGGAACUCGACACACUGCACCCAAAACCAAGCCCCAAAUUCAUGACUCUCAAAAACAAGCUUCUAGCUUAGGCAGUGAGCCAUGACUGUCAGCUAUUUUCUUGUGUCUGUUCAAAUUUGUUAUACAUUGUACAUUGAGUGGAAUUCUUCAGAAUGUUGUAACAGUUUUUCCUGUUCAUGUUUUAUACAAAGCUCCAGGUCAUCGUUUCUGGUGUGUAAAUUACGUUUUUUUUAUGUUUUAUACACACUAAAUUGCCCCACUGUGAAGCUCCAGCUGGUCAAAAGGAGGGAUCUGUGAGUUGUUUUAAGGGGAACAUUAUUACCAGACCUAUGUAAGCGCCAAUAUAUACCUUGAUGUUGCAGAAAAAAAGACCAUGUAUUUUUUAACAGAUUUCCGAACUCUAAAUGGGUGAAUUUUGGCAAAUUAAACCUUUCUAUAUAUUGCUCUCGGAGCAAUGACGUCAGAACGUGACGUCACCUAGGUAAUAAAGCCGCCAUUUUCUCAAACACAUUACAAACACCGCAUCUCAGCUCUGUUAUUUUCCGUUUUUUCGACUAUUUUCUGGAACUUUGGAGACAUCAUGCCUCGUCGGUGUGUUGUCGGAGGGUGUAACAACACUAACAGGGAGGGUAUCAAGUUGCACCACUUGCCCAAAGAUGCAAAAAUGGCAAUAAAUUGGAUGAAAUUUGUUCAAAAUACGAGGGUGUGGGGAAAGCCGACGAAAUGGUCAGUCGUUUGUUCCGCACACUUUACCGACGAAAACUAUGCUACUACAGAGAUGGCAAGACUGUGUCGAUACCCUGCGACACUCAAAGCAGAUGCAUUUCCAACGAUAAGGUCAACUAAAUCACAAAGGUGUGUUUUGUUGAUGUUGUUAACUUAUGUGCUAAUCAGACAUAUUUGGUCACGGCAUGACUGCCAGCUAAUCGAUGCUAACAUACUAUUUAGGCUAGCUGUAUGUAUAUUUGAAACUAUAUUUACAUCCAGCAUUUCCCUCCACCUACGUUUAAUGCCAAACAAACACUUACCAAUCAAUGGAUUUAAAUUGAUCCAGUGUCACAAGAUGCGAAACUUCCGAUCGUUGGUCUGCAAAUUUUACCGGCGAUGCAAAGGCAAACAUGGUCGAAUAGCGCCAAUAGCUUUUCGCUCAAUAGCUUCAGUUUCUUCUUCAAUUUCGUUUUCGCUAUCUGCCUCCAUACUCCAACCAUCCGUUUCACUACAUGCGUAAUCUGUUGAAUCGCUUAAGCCGCUGAAAUCAGUCUCAAUCCGAGCUAAUGUCACUAUAUCUCGCUGUGCUAUCCGUAUUGGCACCACUGGAUGACGUCACAGGAAAAUGGACGAUGGCUUCACAGAUAGUGAAAAUCAGGCACUUUAAGCUUUUUUUAGGGAUAUUCUGGGCUUCACAGAUAGUGAAAAUCAGGCACUUUAAGCUUUUUUUAGGGAUAUUCUGGGAUGGGUAAAAUAAAAAUAAAAAAAUGUAAAAAAAUAAAAUAAGCCACUGGGAACUGAUUUUUAUUGGUUUUAACCCUUCUGAAAUUGUGAUAAUGUUCCCCUUUAAGUUAACAUUUUUCAAAAUAUACACACUGAAAGACACUACUGUGAAGUUGUUCUGCUUGUGAAUUGUUACAGAAGUACAGAUAGUCUUAAUGUGAAAUCGUUUUAGCAAGAAACUGUACUGUGAAUGUAAAACAUGAGAUGCUGAGGUCAUGCAUUCUUUUAUGCACUAAAUACUGAUGUUCUUGACUGUUAAUAAUGUCCAUCUUAUUGAUACGGUUUGGAUAUGGCUUGAGAAAAUGUUUUAUUAAUAUGCAUACGGUUAAAAAAAAACAACUACUGUGAAGGUGUUCUAUACAGCACUUUAAAAAGUUGAGGUCAUGCAUUCUAUGCACUAAAUAUGGAUGUUGACUGUUCAUACUGUCCAGCUCAUUGACACUGUUUUUAUAUAGUAAUGAUUUAAUAAAGGUUGGAAUUUGA